rnacentral:misc_RNA from 1 species
GAAAUGCGAUAAGUAAUGUGAAUUGCAGAAUUCAGUGAAUCAUCGAAUCUUUGAACGCACAUUGCGCUCGCCAGUAUUCUGGCGAGCAUGCCUGUUCGAGCGUCAUUUCAACCAUCAAGCUCUGCUUGCGUUGGGGAUCCGCGGCUGCCCGCGGUCCCUCAAAAACAGUGGCGGGCUCGCUAGUCACACCGAGCGUAGUAACUCUACAUCGCUAUGGUCGUGCGGUGGGUUCUUGCCGUAAAACCCCCAAUUUCUAAGGUUGACCUCGGAUCAGGUAGGAAUACCCGCUGAACUUAAGC